rfam:Arabidopsis thaliana chromosome 4, complete sequence.
GUCCCUUCGUGGACAUCCGAUAAAAUUGGAACGAUACAGAGAAGAUUAGCAUGUGCCCUGCGCAAGGAUGACACGCUUAAAUCGAGAUAUGAUCCAAAUUUAU